rnacentral:rRNA from 1 species
UUGCUCUUCAACGAGGAAUGCCUAGUAAGCGCGUGUCAUCAGCACGCGUUGAUUACGUCCCUGCCCUUUGUACACACCGCCCGUCGCUACUACCGAUUGAAUGGCUCAGUGAGGCCUUCGGACUGGCUCGAGGAGGUUGGCAACGACCACCUCAAGCCGGAAAGUUGGUCAAACUCGGUCAUUUAGAGGAAGUAAAAGUCGUAACAAGGUUUCCGUAGGUGAACCUGCGGAAGGAUCAUUAUCGAACAAACAAGCCUAUGAUGCCGGGUCUCAUACCCCGGAUGUUCAGGGCUUUAACGGGUGUGUUAGCGGCCACCAGAGUAACCCUCUGGGCGGUUUAGGGUUCAACCGAACCCUUUCACGCGCACACUACCGAUAUCCUUAUUCUACUCGUACCUCUCGUUCUCCUUCGGUGGGGCAACCUGCCGUUGGAAAUACAAAACUCUUUUUUGCAUCUAGCAUUACCUGUUCUGAUACAAAUAAUCGUUACAACUUUCAACAAUGGAUCUCUUGGCUCUGGCAUCGAUGAAGAACGCAGCGAAAUGCGAUAAGUAGUGUGAAUUGCAGAAUUCAGUGAAUCGUCGAAUCUUUGAACGCACAUUGCGCCCCUUGGUAUUCCAUGGGGCAUGCCUGUUCGAGCGUCAUCUACACCCUCAAGCUCUGCUUGGUGUUGGGCGUCUGUCCCGCCUUUGCGCGUGGACUCGCCCCAAAUCCAUUGGCAGCGGUCUCCGCCUCCUCUCGCGCAGUACAAUGCGUUUCUCGAGGUGCUGCGGCCCGCGUCCAGUAAGCAAUUUACCGUCUUUGACCUCGGAUCAGGCAGGGAUACCCGCUGAACUUAAGCAUAUCAAUAAGCGGAGGA